GUUAGAGUAGCUCAGUGGUAGAGCAUCGGUUUGAAAAACCGUGGGUCACCAGUUCAAAUCUGGUCUCUGACA
rnacentral:tRNA from 1 species